rnacentral:lncRNA from 1 species
AGUUUUUUCCAUUUCUACUUCGUUUUCCACACCUUUCAACUUAGACUCGCCAGCUCCUUCCCUUUAUUUUCUUUGCUCGUGCCUACCUUUCCAGAAGUGAAGAAACUCCCUUGUAGGUUCCUGCACAUUAGGCCAUUGCUAUUAUCCUCACGCUCCUUUGAAUGGCAGUCAAAACAAAACUCUAUAUAAAUUGGACACCCACUUCACCCUUUUGCAUAUCCAUCAAACAAUACAUUCUCUAAUUCUCUGCAGAUACAUACCAAUAUCAGGUAGAUAUGGCUAGAGCACUCAAAUUUGUGAGCUUCCUCUUCCUUGUUCUGGUGUUGAACUCCAUUGCCAUCCAUGGCCGCCCCUUUAAUGUGUUGAAGAAGCCGCGAGGCCCUGAUGGUGAGGAGAUGAGGGGAUUCUUUGAUGGGUUGUCUCUUGGAGCCAUCAAGCAAUCAGGACCAAGCCCUGGUAAUGGACACAAAUUCAC